CGUUUCCUACUCAUCUACAUACGUCUCUCCAGGAAAGCCUUACAAGCACACUUGCCAAGCAGACCGAUUCAACCGGUAUAGAGACAACCAGAGGCCCAGCCCCAGAACGAGGUACCUGAUGACGUCUCUCAUUCAGUAGGGAUUUAACAAACAGUGCAGAGCAGGUGCUCCUGGACCCACAGGGCAGCCCCUGAGGAAACACACAGAUGACCACAGGCUCCGUCUUGUGUGGUUUUUGAGAGAAUCAAAUGAGAGUCUCAUGAUUUCCCAUCUGCGGACAGACAGCACUUUGAGAAAAUAAACGUCUAUACUAAUGUAAAAUAUUGGCAGUGUUACACGAGCGAUCUCUUCGGUGAAAAGGCAGCAACGGGACUACAUCCUGAGGGUCAUUCAAACAUCAGAAGAGUUGGCACGGUAAUAUUUUGCAUGCUUAGAUAAACAGGCUGCUUUGCGGAUGCUGUCACAUGAGGAAGGAAAGACCCAGAAGCUCUAACAUAGGUAGUUUGAGGGGCUCUGGCUUGGGCUUCUGAAAAAGGAUGUUGAUGCCAUCGCUCCCAUCUAAAAGGAUGCAUGUGAUGUGGCUGUUGAAUUCCAGUCUGCAGUGAACACAGCCCCUGGACCAGAUGCAGGGACCUUCUCUGUCUGUGAGAACACCUUCCAGAUGCUGAGAUUUCUGUAUAUGGAAGUCAAAGAAGAGCAAGUCAGGUUGCGGUAGCUGCACAUGCUUUCUUCCAAAGACUGAGGCUCAGAAACUCAGCCUGGAGUCACUGUGACACAGAGGAAAACGAUCAAACCCAGGCUUCUGUUUUCUGGAAAGAAGAAAACUGCAAAACCAUGCGACCAGAUGUUCCCCCUGGUGAUUCCAUUCACUCUCUGCCUGGAAGAAUGUGAAAUUAUUCUUCAAUACGAGCCAGCGUCCUGCCCAUCUGAAAUGAAGGUGGAUUCUUCACAAAAUUAAAUGCCAAAGGUAGUUAGAAAAAA